GGGCUUUCUUGCAAUCCAUCAUCCCAGCUCCAGUUUCUUCUCGCAGCUGUUUAACCAAAGCAGCUGAAACUGCUGCUUUCGGAGCCUCGACAGUAGUCUCCUUGGCUUCAACAGCUGGUUGCUCUUUUCCCGGCGAGGAGACAGGUUUAGCUGCUGUUUGAGCAGCCACCUCUGCAGCAAAGUCUUGGCUCUUCUUUUCAAGACCUUCUCCCAGGUUGUAUCGCACAAAUCUCUUCACUUUGAUGUUUUCACCAAUCGUUGAAAUUGUCUGCUUGAUCAAGUCCUUUACAACCAUCUUAUCAUUUUUGAUGUAAGGCUGCUCCAGUAAUGCCAGAUCUUCAAGCCUCUUAUUUAUCCGC
rnacentral:misc_RNA from 1 species